UCAGGGAGUCAUCAACUGAGAGCCAACGAUCCAUCCGCGUCGUCAAGUGACAUAAGAGGUAGGAACAUGGUCAACAUCACUGGCGGUGAAAGGACUUCAUAUCAAGGGACCAGUGCUGCAGCUACAAAUGAUACAAGAGGUGAAGCUUCCCGUGGAACUGGGAAAUACUAGGCUCGGCGAAAUGGCAUGGAUUCGGACAAGUGGACAACCAUGGUGGUAGAAUUUCUUGUGGUGAUGAACAUCAAACAUAUUGUUUUUGCGAUGCUACAGUUCCUCGGUUUACCUUUUUAUCGUGAUUGCAAUCUUUAAUAAUGAUCCGACUUCUUUGGUACAAACAUUUGAUCAAGAUUGAUCAUCUUCUAUUUUCUGAAGACUGGUUAAUUAUAUUCUGUGUAAAAGAGAUGCUUUAUUUUGUUGGAUGUAAGAUUUGGUACUCUCCUUCAAUUUCCAAUGUGGA